rnacentral:rRNA from 1 species
UGCGCAGGCGGUUUUGUAAGACAGAUGUGAAAUCCCCGGGCUUAACCUGGGAACUGCGUUUGUGACUGCAAGACUUGAGUAUGGCAGAGGGGGGUAGAAUUCCACGUGUAGCAGUGAAAUGCGUAGAGAUGUGGAGGAAUACCGAUGGCGAAGGCAGCCCCCUGGGUCAAUACUGACGCUCAUGCACGAAAGCGUGGGGAGCAAACAGGAUUAGAUACCCUGGUAGUCCACGCCCUAAACGAUGCCAACUAGGUGUUGGGGAAGGAGACUUCCUUAGUACCGUAGCUAACGCGUGAAGUUGGCCGCCUGGGGAGUACGGUCGCAAGAUUAAAA